UACGGAGGGUGCAAACGUUGUUCGGAAUUAUUGGGCGUAAAGCGCGUGUAGGCGGCUUUGCAAGUCGGGUGUGAAAGCCCUCGGCUCAACCGAGGAAGUGCGCCCGAAACUGCAGAGCUUGAGUACCGGAGAGGAUGGCGGAAUUCCCCAAGUAGAGGUGAAAUUCGUAGAUAUAGGGAGGAACACCGGUGGCGAAGGCGGCCAUCUGGACGGAUACUGACGCUGAGACGCGAAAGCGUGGGGAGCAAACAGG
rnacentral:rRNA from 1 species